rnacentral:rRNA from 1 species
GAUGAACGCUGGCGGCGUGCCUAAUACAUGCAAGUCGAGCGAACAGACGAGGAGCAUGCUCCUCUGACGUUAGCGGCGGACGGGUGAGUAACACGUGGAUAACCUACCUAUAAGACUGGGAUAACUUCGGGAAACCGGAGCUAAUACCGGAUAAUAUAUUGAACCGCAUGGUUCAAUAGUGAAAGACGGUUUUGCUGUCACUUAUAGAUGGAUCCGCGCCGCAUUAGCUAGUUGGUAAGGUAACGGCUUACCAAGGCAACGAUGCGUAGCCGACCUGAGAGGGUGAUCGGCCACACUGGAACUGAGACACGGUCCAGACUCCUACGGGAGGCAGCAGUAGGGAAUCUUCCGCAAUGGGCGAAAGCUUGACGGAGCAACGCCGCGUGAGUGAUGAAGGUCUUCGGAUCGUAAAACUCUGUUAUUAGGGAAGAACAAAUGUGUAAGUAACUAUGCACGUCUUGACGGUACCUAAUCAGAAAGCCACGACUAACUACGUG